CCUUUGGGACACAAAAUAAUUAACAAUUUGGAUUUCAGGUGCUAAUGAUUAACAGUGUGUAGAACUUGUUCCAAUUAAAACCUAGGAGUACUUAGCAACUAUGACAAAACAUCAUGAGAAACAAAUUAAUGUGAAUUUUAGUUUGUUUUUAUUUUGUCAUUUAUCUUUAUAGAUGUGAUAUUCUCAGUGGAAUUAUAACAUCACGCUCUCUUCCAUGUAGAUAUUUUCACUCAGUAUGCAACGAGUUCUCACUGCUUUAAAACACAUCCAUAUAAUUAGGAGAAGCCUACUAUAUGUAUAAUGUUAGAAACUUCUUCCUCUAUCUGAUGUGUGAUAUAUCACAAUUUUAUCCCAUGGGAUUGUAAGGUAAGAUAAAGAGAUGUCCCUUGUCGGGUCAGACAAUUAAACUCUCACACCAGAUUCAGGAAUUGACUUUGAAUACGAUUGUAAUGACAUGCUUCUUUCAUAGAGAUAUUGAUAUCACAUAAAUAAUUGAGAGCAUCACCCCUGACCCACCUCCUCUCUGGGCCUUUAUUUCAGCUUGUUUCUUAGCUGAUAGAAGGGGACAAGGAAUGGUAAAGUUUUCUGCAUCUCUUUCACAUGGCAGGCUUUUCAGGUAUCAAAAGUGAAUUUGUAAAGAAACUCGACAAAACUAUUCCUAGCAGUUUCUUUCCUUUUCCUUUUUGUUCAUUUUCGUUUAUACAUUUCCAUAGUAUGAAGUCAAAACUUACUUGCAAGUUCUGAAAGUUCUGCUGACCUCCGCCAAUCCUCCUUCCUUAGCUGACAUGGCGUCCAGCUCUGCCCAGCUUCCUUUUAUCACCUCAUAGCAAUUCAAGCUUGCUUCCUGCUCAAAUCCAUUGAAAAUUCUUUCAUAAAAGAAAAGAUCAUACCCCAAAAAACAAUUUCAAGAAGUGGGGGAAGAGAACAGAA
rnacentral:lncRNA from 1 species